UGGACCACCGAUGAUGAGAAGUCCCGGCGUAUGAGUCUUGGACGAUGAAUAAUACGUUCUGGAUCUCUGAGGUCCAA
ensembl:snoRNA